rnacentral:rRNA from 1 species
UACAGAGGAGCCAAGCGUUGUCCGGAUUGACUGGGCGUAAAGCGCACGCAGGCGGUUGCGCGCGUGGGUGUGAAAUCUGGCCGCUUAACGGCCAGGCGCCAUCCCAUACGGCGCGACUGGAGGGCUGCAGAGGUCGAUGGAAUUGCCGGUGUAGUGGUGAAAUGCGUAGAGAUCGGCAGGAACACCCCAGGGGGGAAACCA